rnacentral:rRNA from 1 species
UAGCGGCGGACGGGUGAGUAAUACUUAGGAAUCUGCCUAUUAGUGGGGGACAACAUCUCGAAAGGGAUGCUAAUACCGCAUACGUCCUACGGGAGAAAGCAGGGGAUCUUUAUGACCUUGCGCUAAUAGAUGAGCCUAAGUCGGAUUAGCUAGUUGGUGGGGUAAAGGCCUACCAAGGCGACGAUCUGUAGCGGGUCUGAGAGGAUGAUCCGCCACACUGGGACUGAGACACGGCCCAGACUCCUACGGGAGGCAGCAGUGGGGAAUAUUGGACAAUGGGGGGAACCCUGAUCCAGCCAUGCCGCGUGUGUGAAGAAGGCCUUAUGGUUGUAAAGCACUUUAAGCGAGGAGGAGGCUUACCUGGUUAAUACCCAGGAUAAGUGGACGUUACUCGCAGAAUAAGCACCGGCUAACUCUGUGCCAGCAGCCGCGGUAAUACAGAGGGUGCAAGCGUUAAUCGGAUUUACUGGGCGUAAAGCGCGCGUAGGCGGCCAAUUAAGUCAAAUGUGAAAUCCCCGAGCUUAACUUGGGAAUUGCAUUCGAUACUGAUUGGCUAGAGUGUGGGAGAGGAUGGUAGAAUUCCAGGUGUAGCGGUGAAAUGCGUAGAGAU